CCUUACCUGGCCUUGACAUACUAAGAACUUUCCAGAGAUGGAUUGGUGCCUUCGGGAACUUAGAUACAGGUGCUGCAUGGCUGUCGUCAGCUCGUGUCGUGAGAUGUUGGGUUAAGUCCCGCAACGAGCGCAACCCUUUUACUUAUUUGCCAGCGGGUUAAGCCGGGAACUUUAAGGAUACUGCCAGUGACAAACUGGAGGAAGGCGGGGACGACGUCAAGUCAUCAUGGCCCUUACGGCCAGGGCUACACACGUGCUACAAUGGUCGGUACAAAGGGUUGCUACCUCGCGAGAGGAUGCUAAUCUCAAAAAGCCGAUCGUAGUCCGGAUCGCAGUCUGCAACUCGACUGCGUGAAGUCGGAAUCGCUAGUAAUCGCGGAUCAGAAUGCCGCGGUGAAUACGUUCCCGGGCCUUGUACACACCGCCCGUCACACCAUGGGAGUUUGUUGCACCAGAAGUAGGUAGUCUAACCGCAAGGAGGACGCUUACCACGGUGUGGCCGAUGACUGGGGUGAAGUCGUAACAAGGUAAGCGUAGAUGA
rnacentral:rRNA from 1 species